CUCUCAUGUAUUUUACAUAGAUGAUUGGUCUCGAGCGUGAAACUCCCCAGGGAUUAAUGUGAAGUAGGCACGGGUAUCAACGUCUAAGCCCACAGUAAACAUAUGAUGAGCCCGAACAAGAAAUCCAAGAACACCUAUAUUGAUCAUGGCAUAAACCAUGCCUAGAUACCCGAAAACCGAUUUUCCCGAAAAAGUAGAAACGAUAUGACUUAUGAUACCGGAUCCAGGCAGUAAGUCUUACUGCCAAUGUCAGCUAAUAGGCUUAAAAACAAAAAGAAAAUGGAAAUUAAUGUUGGAGUCUCCUUACUUCUCAGCCCUAAGCUAAGUCUUCCUCAAUGACCGAUCACUUUUCAGCAUAUUCCGGUAAAGCCUUAAAGGCAAGGAAAGCUUUCAAGCUAAUAAGCUACUUAAGAAAGAAACUAAAGAAAGAAAAGAAUUGAAAAGACAGAAAGGAAAGAGUACAAAGAGAGAUACGGAAAGUCAUAUUCCAGUAAAGCCUUAAAGCUUUCAGCGCCUCGAAGACUCAAUAGCAAUUCCAUCUCGUCUUUCCAGAUCAAUAGCCCCAAUCCCCAUCUUUUCAAAACAUGUCAUUUACGGGUAGGUCGAAACAUCUUUGAUCAUGAGCGAAUUUGUUGAUGUUGCACCCAUGAAGUAUGGAAAGUGCCAAACAUUGGGAACUACCCGGGCAGGAGUUAGGAACAAGAACAAGGAGAAGCGAGAACCACUAUAAACCCCUCCCAAGGUUGUGGCAACUUUCUACUCCUCCUGAGCUAUCUUGCCGUAUCUAAAAUGACUUCGAGCAUCCAGCUUCACCACUGCUGCCUGCUCUCUCCUUCUUCGGCACUUCCCAGUCCACAACAGACCUGGUCUUCUCUUGAUCCAUCUGAAUCACACCCUUGCUGAUCCAAUGGCCAAGAAAUAGCACUUUCGUCUGAGUACUCUUUCACGUACAGCCUCUUUUCCUGCUACACCCGGAACACUGUACUCAGGGUUCCAAACCUCCAGUGAGUGACUAUAAACG
rnacentral:lncRNA from 1 species